ensembl:snRNA U6 U6 spliceosomal RNA
GUGCUCAGCAGCACGUGCACUAAAGUUGGAAUAGUACAGAGACAAUUAGCACAGCCCCUAUGCAAAAAUGACAUGCAAAUUCAUGACAUGUUCCAUAUGGUC